rnacentral:pre_miRNA from 1 species
AGUGGAAUAACUGGGUCAAAUGGUGGUUCCAUUCCAAGUUUUAUGGGGAGUCUCCAAACUGCUUUCCAUAGUGGUUUUACCAAUUUGCAGUCCCACCAGUAAU